rnacentral:rRNA from 1 species
CGGAGGGUGCGAGCGUUGUCCGGAAUCACUGGGCGUAAAGGGCGCGUAGGCGGCCUGAUAAGUAGGGGGUGAAAUCCUGCGGCUUAACCGCAGGGCUGCCUUCUAAACUGUCGGGCUCGAGCACAGUAGAGGCAGGUGGAAUUCCCGGUGUAGCGGUGGAAUGCGUAGAGAUCGGGAAGAACAUCAGUGGCGAAGGCGGCCUGCUGGGCUGUUGCUGACGCUGAGACGCGACAGCGUGGGGAGCAAACAGGAUUAGAUACCCUGGUAGUCCACGCCGUAAACGAUGGACACUAGGCGUCGGGGGGAGCGACCCUCCCGGUGCCGUCGCUAACGCAGUAAGUGUCCCGCCUGGGGAGUACGGCCGCAAGGCUG